rnacentral:lncRNA from 1 species
GGUCCUUUACUUUUUUGUUUAUUUAACCUUCAAAGUAAAGCUGUGUAUAUUUAUUAUUAAAAUUUAUUAUUUUUUUUAUCGGAGUGAUAUACAAGUUACCACUUUAACCAUUUCAAAGUAUACAGUGGUAUUAAGUACAUCCAUAAUGAAGUACAAAUACUACCAUUUUGCACCUCCAUAACUCUUUUAAUAUUUAAUAGCAAAAAUGCUGUUCAUUAAACUUUCACUCCACCCACCCACCACAGAUCCUGCCAGUCUACUCUGUAGUCUCUGUGGUUUUGAUUACUCUACUUCAUAGAAAUGGGAUUAUAUAGUAUUUUUCUUUUUGUGACUAGCUCGUAUCACUUGGCAUGAUAUUCUCAAAGUUCAUUCGAUGGUGCGGCCCAUGUCAGAAUCCCUUUCCUUUUAAAAGUCUAAUGUCCCAUUGAAAAUAUGUACCAAAUUUGGUUGUCCAUUUUUCUGUGAUGGACAAAAUUCCCUGUACUUCACCUAGUCUAACUUUUCUUUUUUCUAUUUUUGAUGCACUCCAUACUUUUUACCUUUGUGACUCUUAGGCCAAUGGUGUUUUAUGCCUUAUUUUCCCUCCAGUAUUUUGGUUAUAAUUUUUUUCCCCACACAGGAAUGUAAGAAAGAAGUUUGGUCUGGUUUGUUUCAUGCUCUAUUCCUAGCUCAUAAGCCCUAAGAGGAUACAUUUCAU